rnacentral:misc_RNA from 1 species
AUCGACGAGAACGAUUACCAAACGAAAUUCCGCAAUGUUGUAAAGUUUCUGGGUGAAGGCGAUAAAGUGAAAUGUUCGGUUCGUUUCCGCGGACGUGAAAUUACACAUGCUUCUGUCGGUCAGAAGAUUCUUGAUCGGCUUGCGACAGAGGUUGCUGAUCUGUGCGUCAUGGAGCGUGUUCCUAAACUUGAGGGCCGCAGUAUGAUUAUGAUUUUGGCACCGAAACAGACUAACUAACAUUCUUUGAGGAGGAACACCACAUGCCUAAAAUGAAAACUCACAGCAGUUUGAAAGAUCGUUUCAAAAUUACGGGUACUGGUAAAGUAA